AGCACUGUAGGUGCCAGCAGCCGCGGUAAUACGGAGGAUCCGAGCGUUAUCCGGAUUUAUUGGGUUUAAAGGGAGCGUAGAUGGAUGUUUAAGUCAGUUGUGAAAGUUUGCGGCUCAACCGUAAAAUUGCAGUUGAUACUGGAUAUCUUGAGUGCAGUUGAGGCAGGCGGAAUUCGNGUGUAGCGGUGAGNUAGCUUAGGAUAUCACGAAGACUCCGAUU
rnacentral:rRNA from 1 species